rnacentral:misc_RNA from 1 species
UCCUCUAAUUUUUUCCUUUAAGUCCCUCUUAAAUCGUCCAUAAACCGCUUCCAAACCGUCCGUCAAACCGUUUUAAAUUGUAAUUUUUUAAACUGUCCUUUAAACCGAUUUUAAAUCGGGGCUCGAACCAAAACCAGCGAUUCAAGAACUAUCUUCCAAACCAUCUCAUGACGGUUUGGUUUAUAUUCAUUAUUUCAUUGAACCUGAACCGGUGAUUGAGG